GAUGAACGCUGGCGGCAGGCCUAAUACAUGCAAGUCAAGGGGCCCCGCCUUUGGGCGGGGCACCGGCGGACGGGUGAGCAGCGCGUACACAACGUGCCCCUGACCGGGGGACAGCGGCGGGAAACUGCCGGUAACACCCCAUGGCGCCGCGGGGCGGCAUUGCCCGGCGGCGAAAGUUUCGGCGGUCGGGGAUCGGUGUGCGUCCGAUUAGGUAGUUGGCGGGGUGACGGCCCACCAACCGCUGCGAUCGGAGGGGGUGUGAGAGCA
rnacentral:rRNA from 1 species